GGAGGCAUCUGCGGUCCAUCUCCCACCCGUGUCUAUUGUACCUUGUUGCUUCGGCGGGCCCGCCGUUUCGACGGCCGCCGGGGAGGCCUCGCGCCCCCGGGCCCGCGCCCGCCGAAGACCCCAACAUGAACGCUGUUCUGAAAGUAUGCAGUCUGAGUUGAUUAUCAUAAUCAGUUAAAACUUUCAACAAACGGAUCUCUUGGUUCCGGCAUCGAUGAAGAACGCAGCGAAAUGCGAUAAGUAAUGUGAAUUGCAGAAUUCAGUGAAUCAUCGAGUCUUUGAACGCACAUUGCGCCCCCUGGUAUUCCGGGGGGCAUGCCUGUCCGAGCGUCAAUUGCUGGCCCUCAAAGCCACGGGCUUUGGUGGUUGUUGGGGCCCGCCCGUCCCCCGUGUUUCUCCCCCCGGGGGACGGGGCCCCGAAAAGGGGCCAGGGGCGGGCACCAGCUGGUUCCCGGGUUCCUCACGAAGCGUUAUUGGGCUUUCGGUUCACCACAGGUUCUGGUUAAGGCCCAUGGCCGGCGGCCAGGGCCGAACAGCCCACUUUAUUCUUAGGGUUUGGAACUCGACUCAGGUAAGGGGAUUACCCGUGAAAUUUGC
rnacentral:sRNA from 1 species